rnacentral:piRNA from 1 species
UACAUAGGGGCUGGUCGGAUGAGA